GAUGAAGAACGUAGCGAAAUGCGAUAAGUAGUGUGAAUUGCAGAAUUCAGUGAAUCAUCGAAUCUUUGAACGCACAUUGCGCCCGCCAGUAUUCUGGCGGGCAUGCCUGUUCGAGCGUCAUUUCAACCAUCAAGCCCCCGGCUUGUGUUGGGGACCUGCGGCUGCCGCAGGCCCUGAAAACCAGUGGCGGGCUCGCUAGUCACUCCGAGCGUAGUAAUACAUCUCGCUCAGGGCGUGCUGCGGGUUCCGGCCGUUAAAAAGCCUUAUUUACCCAAGGUUGACCUCGGAUCAGGUAGAAAGACCCGCUGAACUUAAGCAUAUCAAUAAGCGGAGGA
rnacentral:misc_RNA from 1 species